GAUGAACGCUGGCGGCGUGCCUAAUACAUGCAAGUCCAGCGAACGGACUAGAAGCUUGCUUCUCUGAUGUUAGCGGCGGACGGGUGAGUAACACGUGGAUAACCUACCUAUAAGACUGGGAUAACUUCGGGAAACCGGAGCUAAUACCGGAUAAUAUUUUGAACCGCAUGGUUCAAAAGUGAAAGACGGUCUUGCUGUCACUUAUAGAUGGAUCCGCGCUGCAUUAGCUAGUUGGUAAGGUAACGGCUUACCAAGGCAACGAUGCAUAGCCGACCUGAGAGGGUGAACGGCCACACUGGAACUGAGACACGGUCCAGACUCCUACGGGAGGCAGCAGUAGGGAAUCUUCCGCAAUGGGCGAAAGCCUGACGGAGCAACGCAGCGUGAGUGAUGAAGGUCUUCGGAUCGUAAAACUCUGUUAUUAGGGAAGAACAUAUGUGUAAGUAACUGUGCACAUCUUGACGGUACCUAAUCAGAAAGCCACGGCUAACUACGUG
rnacentral:rRNA from 1 species